rnacentral:rRNA from 1 species
UACGUAGGGGGCAAGCGUUGUCCGGAAUUAUUGGGCGUAAAGAGCGUGUAGGCGGUCCGGUCAGUCGGCUGUGAAAGUCCAGGGCUCAACCCUGGGAUGCCGGUCGAUACUGCCGGACUAGAGUUCGGAAGAGGCGAGUGGAAUUCCCGGUGUAGCGGUGAAAUGCGCAGAUAUCGGGAGGAACACCUAUGGCGAAGGCAGCUCGCUGGGACGUUACUGACGCUGAGACGCGAAAGCGUGGGGAGCGAACAGG